AACGAUCCAGAGCUUUACCACGCUCGAUACCAGCACGUCAUUGGCGACCAGCCUUAACUCACUCGUAAUAAUCGAUUCGUUCGAUGAGAAUUGUGAUAACAUGAUUGAGGAAAUUACUAGACUGUAGGUUUGAUAUAGAUUUUGGAGAGGCGUAUGUUAAGGAUGCGUAUUGAAUGCGUUAAUAGUGUAAGAUGUAGGUUUUAACAGCUUUUUUUCGGAAGAGAAAUCGCUAACAGCAGUGUUGUACGCGUGGUAGAUCACUUUCUGCUCGGGUAGCCUUCGAACAGCAAACACGUGGACCUGAAGGCAAGUCCAAAAUGUGCUUAUAAAUCUAGUAGCCCUUGUUGAUCGCACCCAACAACGCAUCCGGAGCGACGAGAGAAAAUUUUCCCAUUCCAUUUUGGCCCAUCGUUCGAAAAGGUUCACUUUUUUCCGGAAGCCGUUCCAAGAAAGAAAUCAAGAUGUUCAAAAUUAUCAGUGAAGCUGCCAGAGGAAUCUCGGUGAAAAACCUGGAAGCGGCCGGCAAGCUGGCCAAGGCCCGUCCCUUUUCGUCGUCGUCAUCAAACAACGACCGGGGCCUGACGGACUUCAGCCAAAAGAAAGACUGCCAGCAAAAGGCCUGUUCGGAUCGGUCUACGAAGAUGCCCCCGAAGGAACCCAAAUCCAGCUGCGACAAGCCGGUUAGUCCGAAAACGUGGCGCACCUGUCCGGAACCUCCGACCCCCAAGGAAUUCUCCUGCGCCGACACGGUACAAGAGAUGGUUCCCCGACGAAAGAAGCGCCAAGUGGCCUCCAGGCCGGCCUGUUCCAAGCCGGCUCCCAGCCUGGCCGCGCCCGAUUGUGUCAAGGUUAAGAAAGAACUGUGCCCGCGAGCCUCCUUGCCCGGAUGUGGAAAGGCCAAAAUUCCGCCGCGCUGCGAUCCGAAGAAAGUGGUUCGCGACUGCAUCAGAUUGCGGCCACCGGUGGCAUGCUUUUCUGAGUGCUACCGGAACCCGUUCCCACCGCAACCGCGCUCGGAGUGCACCUGCCUGACAACGCCGCGGAUUUGCUAGUGUCGUCUACCCGAGCAGAAUGAGAUUCUUCUUUUCGGAAUAAAACAACUGUACGUCAAUCGCAA